rnacentral:rRNA from 1 species
UACGAAGGGUGCAAGCGUUAAUCGGAAUUACUGGGCGUAAAGGGUGCGUAGGCGGUUGUUUAAGUCUGUCGUGAAAUCCCCGGGCUCAACCUGGGAAUGGCGAUGGAUACUGGGCAGCUAGAGUGUGUCAGAGGAUGGUGGAAUUCCCGGUGUAGCGGUGAAAUGCGUAGAGAUCGGGAGGAACAUCCGUGGCGAAGGCGGCCAUCUGGACCAGCACUGACACUGAGGCACGAAAGCGUGGGGAGCAAACAGG